rnacentral:rRNA from 1 species
CCCUUAGAUGUUCUGGGCCGCACGCGCGCUACACUGAUGCAUUCAACGAGUCUAAAACCUGGUCUGAUAGGGCUGGGUAAUCUUUUGAAAGUGCAUCGUGAUUGGGAUAGAUGAUUGCAAUUCUUCAUCUUCAACGAGGAAUGCCUAGUAAACGCAAGUCAUCAGCUUGCAUUGAUUACGUCCCUGCCCUUUGUACACACCGCCCGUCGCUCCUACCGAUUGAAUGAUCCGAUGAAUACCAUGGAUUGAGAGCACGAAUGGGUUCGCUCAUUUCUGCUGCUCGAGAAGUGGAGUAAAUCUUAUCAUUUAGAGGAAGGAGAAGUCGUAACA